AAAUUAUUUGUAAAUAAUAUAAGUACUUCUCCUAAUUGCCUUUCUCUGUCAUUUCUUGAUUUACCCCUUUUUGGGUGGGGUCCCAUAGUACUCAGUUCGAAAAGUGUACAAUAUACCCAGUUCGCAAAUGCCCGAUAUUAUGGCCCAUAAACUAUAUUUGCGAAAACAAAACACUCUGGCGAUCGCCGCAAAAAAGUUAUGUUGAUUCUCGGCUGAUUUAGUGCGAACACGUCCGUAGAUCAGUCCUUGCAACGACACACAAUCGAUUGGCUAACCCAUUUCGGGGGAUUGUCGGUCUGCCACGCUUUACCUACGGAUAAGGCCUUAGCUCACCGACCCGGCUUCCAUCCCGGGAUCUUAAAUCCGAAUCCGAAUUCAAGCCCGAACCCAAAAACCGAAUUAGAAUGGCGAACAAUUAAUGGACGGCUCCAACGAUUUCGGGAUAGCCAAGGUCGCGGAGCAUGGAACUUCUAGGACUGCUUGUCGGCACAGAUCAAGUUUAUUUCUGGGUUGGGCACCCACUAUUGUUUCGGCGUUGCCAUAACUUGUAAUCUUUUUAUAGAUAAUGUAAACAAGUUGGAAAAUGCGAAAUUUAAAUUGAGCAUUAACAUAUAGUAUACAAAGAUCAAAGCAGGUGGAAAUUUUAAGUUUAUAACAAUGUUCUCCAUUGCAAUGACUAAUAUUCUCAACUGACAUUCAACUCCGCCCAGAACACCCGUGUGUGGUUUCCAUCGGAUCUGGUCCAUCUGGCUUGAGGCAUCCUGUUUGCAUUGAUGCAUGCAAAUCUACAUGGGUUUCCCCACUUCGUUUAUGCUUUGCAUUUUCAAUUUGUAUCGAAUUUGUAUUUUUGAGAAAUUUUCAAUCAGAAUGAUCGGAUCGAGUUCAGUUCUAGUUGUGCGUUUCAGCGAAAAACCAAUGACGAAAUGUUGAAAAAACUAAAAUAAACAAUUUGUCAUCGGGGGGGUGGGUGGUUGAUAGUUAAGUGUUGCUAAGAUCGCAGUUCGCAGGCAGUCGCACGUCUGCCACUUUUGAUGUGCUGGCCAAAAAAAACAUAUUCUGCGCACGUUCGCUCCUCUGACGUCUGCGCCUGCGCUGUAAGAGAGCUUUUGAGUUACGAGCCUCUAGCUCCCACCUCCCAUCUGCCCACUACCCGCCCCUCGGCCACCCAGCUCCUUGCCUAGAUGGCCGCCACAAUUGUUGCUGUGCGGUUUCAGUUUCAUUUCCGGUGGCAGGCAACGGACGGCGCUUAAAGCGCGUUUUAUAUUUGCUUUUUUCUUACAAGCCAGCAACACACACUCAUAUCACGAAAUGACCAUUUUCGGAUUGGAAUUAAUUUUCUGUGUUUGCUUUUCGAAAUGUAUAUGAUUCGGAUUCUGAUUGCGAUGAAAUCAGUGAUUCAUCCAGGAGUACAGUCAUUAUUCAAUAUGCAUAGAGGAAGGCGGCUCAAUACGGAUAGGUGUUAGCUUGGCACUAUCACUUAAUUGAAAGUUAAGUGAAAAGUUAGUUGUA